AUUAUGUACUCUUUGUUACGAUAGUAUGUACUGUAACAUGUAAUUAUAGGUUCUGGAUGAUGAAGUUUUAAAAAAAAAAAAAAAAAAAAUUGUGGAGAGUGCACAGUAUUCAUGAUUUUUGUGUGACUUUUAUCCUUUUUUUUUUUUUUUUGGUUUAUAAUAAUUUGAUGCAAAGUUCUUGUUUUUGUGAAAGUUAAAGGUGAAAGCUUUAAGCCUUUUUUUUUUUUUUUUUAAUCUUUAGUUUGUCGUUACUGAUUAUUGUUUGAGAUCUUUUUGUGGACUGGAUUGGAGAUUUGGUUGAUCGUGGAAUUUCAGUGGUAUCACGUUUAUCAGCUAAUUAAGAUGAUCCGAAAUCAUCAAGAAAGAAAAACAGAUCGGAUAAAGAAAAGGAAGGUGGUGAAGAAAUGAUUAUUGAUAGCGAUCAUAAUUGACAAGCCAUAUUAAUCUUUGUGAUUGGAUAUGUAAAAUUCAGUCCAUAUUGGAUUUUGAAGCUUCCUAUGUAAAUCUGUGGCCUGCAAAAGCUAGUCACAAAUAAUUUCUAUUUACUGAAGGUGAUUAGAGGAUAGACAAAUAUGUGGAGGCAAAAUAUUGAGAAAUUUGGAGGGGAGUUUCUGCUACAAUCUUCAGGCGUGGUGGAGUGUGUAAGAUUAUCAAGUACUUUUUAGCUAAGAUCAACUGAUGGGUUGCCUAGAAAGGUGAAGACUUUUUCAGAGCAUCUGGGUUCCAGUUUGCGUUGAUGGUGGAUCAUGUGAUACAGAUCAAUAGUCAACUAGGGGAGCACUUCCAUGAAAGAAUAUACUAUAGCAUCCAACAGAAACAACAUAUUUUGGACCUGGUUUUAAUAAAGGAAUUGGUUGAAGGACUGGAGAAAAGAGAAUUCUCUUUGAUUACAGAUUUGUUUAACAAGACCUAUUGCUCUUUGGAACAUGUCUCUGAUUUGAAUGCUUUGAUUAUUAAUCUGAUAAAGAAAUCAUGUCUUUUAGCCUAGAGGAUAUUAUAUGGGUCACCAUUGUAACUUCCAGGGGGAGUUUUUUUUUUUUUUUUUCCGGAAUCAAGAACUUCCAGGGGGUAGUUGUUGAAAUCUACAAGCUAUGUCCAUAAAGUAGGAGGAAGAUUGAGGGUUGAGGAAUGAAUCAAUCUGCUUUGUCUGCAUCAUUAGGUUUAAUACAAUGUUCCAGAAAUUAGGGAAUAGAGCCAGUUUCAUUACAUUCUAUUGCAUUAAAUGGUUUACUGUGAUGUUUUUGUAAAGUUUCAAUAGGAGAUGUAUACGCACACUUGUAGGUAUAGGUUUCCUUCUCCAUCUUUCUGAUAUGUACCCCACCUUUUGGGAUUAGAAACAGCCAAUAGAAAGUGAGAGUUUGUGUCUGAAAUUUCGGGGAGCAAUGAGAGUAGUUGAUGCGUUAUUGGAGGUUGGAGCCUAAUACUUAUGAACCGAGUCUGUGGAGAGAGGUGGUAUAUUAGGAUUUUCUUUGGGACUAAACUACUUUGAAAAUAUAGCAGUUCUCUGAAUGUUGUAGAGUAACCAGCUUUCCUGUUCCACUAAAAUUCGUCUGAUCUUCUUCUAUCUUGUCGGUGUUAGUAAACUCUAGUCCCUUGUUUGUGCAUUUAGUUAGCUUUUCAGCUGAGAAAUUGGUGCUCCUUUUUUCCAUCAAGAACUCUUUCUAUGGCUAAAGGUCUCUAUGCUGCUAGAAAAUUGAAACUGAAAUACCAGCAAAAGUAUAACUGGACUUAUUAUUCUACAAUUAACAGAUUGAGUUCUUGUUCAGUAUGCUUGCUUUUUACUUGAUAGUUCUAUGUCUAACUAUAUGACAAUUGGCUUUGCAUAUGCACUUUUUUAUUCUUUUUUUUUAAAUUUAUACAAGUUAGGAUUAGGAAAAUGAGGCUUCAUCAUUGUGAAAAUGUUUGCACUUAAGUUGUGCUAUUCAAUAGUGUUUUUGAGACGGAUGCGUACCUCUUGGCCCCUAGCUUAUUUGAGCUAUGAGAACUAGAAGUUAUCACCGAUGUCAUUUCUGAUGUCCAAAGGAUGUAUUUUUUUGUGAAUACUGGUUCUACCAAUUUACGUAUAUGGAAUUGUCAAAAAGUCAGAAGAGGAGGUUUAUAGUCAGGAAAAUCGGUAACUUGGGCAGUUCUGGGACACCUAUAGGUUGUAGCCAGUUAUUACCAUCUUUAACAAGCCUUUUUGGCGUAUAUUUUAAUGCUGACUAUAAUU